rnacentral:tRNA from 1 species
GAUGUCUUGGGUGAGUGGUUAUACCGUUUGACUCGAAAUCAAAUUCCGCAAGGAGCGCAAGUUCGAAUCUUGCAGGCAUCG